rnacentral:rRNA from 1 species
CCCUUAGAUGUUCUGGGCCGCACGCGCGCUACACUGACGAAGUCAGCGAGCAUGUCCUACGCCGACAGGUGCGGGGAAUCUUGUCAAACUUCGUCGUGAUGGGGAUUGAUUAUAGAAAUUCUUGAUCAUCAACGAGGAAUUCCUAGUAAGCGCAAGUCAGCAGCUUGCGUUGAUUACGUCCCUGCCCUUUGUACACACCGCCCGUCGCUACUACCGAUUGAAUGGUUUAGUGAGAUCUUCGGAUUGGCGCCACUGCGGCUCAGCAAUGGGCUCGGUGGAUGCCGAAAAGUUGAUCAAACUUGAUCAUUUAGAGGAAGUAAAAGUCGUAACA